rnacentral:rRNA from 1 species
GUCUCUUUGAUAAUUGUUUUAUAAGGAGUUUGACCUGCCCGGUGAAUAGUUAUAUUUUUAACGGCCGCAGUACUUUGACUGUGCGAAGGUAGCAUAAUUAUUUGCCUUAUAAUUGAAGGCUUGUAUGAAUGGUUUGACGAAAAUGGAUCUGUCUUACUUUAAUUUUUUUGAAUUUAACUUUUAAGUGAAGAGGCUUAAAUUUUAUUGAUAGACAAGAAGACCCUAUCGAGCUUUAAAUUUUUGAGUAAGUUUAGAUUUUUGAAUUAUUUGCUAAUUUUUAGUUGGGGUGACUGAGGAAUAAUAUUAAUUUCCUUAAUUUAUUUUAGUAUUUAUUGAUUUUGAUCCAUUGAGUUAGUGAUUAGUAGAGUUAGUUACCGUAGGGAUAACAGCAUAAUCUUUUUUGAGAGUUCAUAUUGAAAAAAUGGUUUGUGACCUCGAUGUUGGAUUAAAAUUUCCUAAGGGUGCAGAAGUUCUUGAGGGUUAGUCUGUUCGACUAUUAAAAUUUU